rnacentral:rRNA from 1 species
CCUACGGGAGGCAGCAGUGAGGAAUAUUGGACAAUGGGCGCAAGCCUGAUCCAGCCAUGCCGCGUGCAGGAAGACGGUCCUAUGGAUUGUAAACUGCUUUUGUACGGGAAGAAACACUCCUACGUGUAGGAGCUUGACGGUACCGUAAGAAUAAGGAUCGGCUAACUCCGUGCCAGCAGCCGCGGUAAUACGGAGGAUCCAAGCGUUAUCCGGAAUCAUUGGGUUUAAAGGGUCCGUAGGCGGUUUAGUAAGUCAGUGGUGAAAGCCCAUCGCUCAACGAUGGAACGGCCAUUGAUACUGCUAGACUUGAAUUACUAGGAAGUAACUAGAAUAUGUAGUGUAGCGGUGAAAUGCUUAGAUAUUACAUGGAAUACCAAUUGCGAAGGCAGGUUACUACUAGUGGAUUGACGCUGAUGGACGAAAGCGUGGGGAGCGAACAGGAUUAGAUACCCUGGUAGUCCACGCCGUAAACGAUGGAUACUAGCUGUUCGGGGCAACCUGAGUGGCUAAGCGAAAGUGAUAAGUAUCCACCUGGGGAGUACGUUCGCAAGAANAGAAGUAAGAAGUAGAGNGUGAGAGNGCGAGACGACGACGAGGAGGAGG